GCACAUAAACAAAACAGAAAUGCAAUGGCUUAGAGCACCCACAGAAAACUUGAUUACCUUGUCACCAUGAGUAAAAGCUAAUUCCAACUCCUGAAGAGAGCAAACCAGCUCUGAAAGAGAGUGAAAACGCAGACGAGACAGUUAUCAGAUAAUGGCUAUCUGGACGAGAGAUUCUUUCAUUUGACAGCAGUUUGGUUGUUGGGAGUUCCAGUUCGGCUUCUACAUAGUUGCUCUGUACAAAUCCUCCUCCAUAUUUGCUUAGAGAAAAUGUGUUGCCAUCCCAUCUUGAAGGAAGCUGCCCAAGAGUUUUUAACCAUUACAGCUGUGAUGAUGAAAGAGUGAAGAACCGCCUCUAAGUUAAAAAGUGCACCCAGAGAUAAAGCUCAUUCUCAAUGCCCUGCCGCUGCUUCUCAUCGAUGGUCACUGCACUUCUCAGUAAGUGGGAAUCAAAUGCUUCACUCACCACAGAGGCCAGGCACACUGAGCAUCGGUCCUGUGCCUGACACUGUGCUAUAUGCUGGUGUUGCAGCCAUGAGCAUAGACACGACAGACACGGUCCUCGCCAUCUACUGUUGAGUACUGAUUGGAACAAGAGGAUCGUCUGUAGACAGGAUAUGAUCAUCAUGGCACCUGUAUUACUGAUACUUUUGGGGGCCACUGAGAUACUGCAAGCUGACUUACUUCCUGAUGAAAAGAUUUCACUUCUCCCACCUAUCAAUUUCACCAUUAAAGUUACUGGCUUGGCUCAAGUUCUUUUACAUUGGGAAUCAAAUCCUGAUCAAGAGCAAAGGAAUGUUAAUCUAGAAUAUCAAGUGAAAAUAAACGCUCCAAAAGAAGAUGAUUAUGAAACCAGAAUCACUGAAAGCAAAUGUGUAACCAUCCUCCACAAAGGCUUUUCAGCAAGUGUGAGGACCAUCUUGCAGAACGACCACUCACUCCUGGCCAGCAGCUGGGCUUCUGCUGAACUUCAUGCCCCACCAGGGUCUCCCGGAACCUCAGUUGUGAAUUUAACUUGCACCACAAACACUACAGCAGAUAAUUAUUCACAUUUAAGGCCAUACCAAGUUUCCCUUCACUGCACCUGGCUUGUUGGCACAGAUGCCCCUGAGGACACGCAGUAUUUUCUCUACUAUAGGUAUGGCUCUUGGACUGAAGAAUGCCAAGAAUACAGCAAAGACUCACUGGGGAGAAACAUCGCAUGCUGGUUUCCCAGGACUUUUAUCCGCAGCAGAGGGCGUGACUGGCUUGCAGUGCUUGUUAACGGCUCCAGCAAGCACUCUGCCAUCAAGCCCUUUGAUCAGCUGUUUGCCCUUCACGCCAUUGAUCGAAUAAAUCCUCCACUGAAUGUCACAGCAGAGAUUGAAGGAACUCGUCUCUCUAUCCAAUGGGAGAAACCAGUGUCUGCCUUUCCAAUCCAUUGCUUUGAUUAUGAAGUAAAAAUACACAAUGCAAGGAACGGAUAUUUGCAGGUAGAAAAAAUGAUGACCAACACAUUCAUCUCAAUAAUUGAUGAUCUUUCUAAGUAUGAUGUUCAAGUGAGAGCAGCAGUGAGCUCCAUGUGCAGAGAGGCGGGGCUCUGGAGCGAGUGGAGCCAACCUAUUUAUGUGGGAAAAGAUGAACACAAGCCCUUGAGAGAGUGGUUUCUCAUUGUGCUUAUGGCAACCAUCUGCUUCAUCUUGUUAAUUCUCUUGCUCAUCUGUAGAAUAUGUCAUUUAUGGAUCAAGUUGUUUCCACCAAUUCCAGCACCAAAAAGUAAUAUCAAAGAUCUCUUUGUAACCGCUAACUAUGAGAAAGCUGGUUCCGUUGAGACAGAAAUUGAAGUCAUCAGUUAUAUAGAGAAGCCUGGAGUUGAGACCCUGGAGGAUUCUGUGUUUUGACUGCCACUGUGGCAUCCUCUGAUGAACUCACACACACAUGCCUCAGUGAAAAGAAGAACAGGGAUGCUGGUUCUUGGCUAAGAGGUGUUCAGAAUUUAUGGAAUACUCAAUUUAGCUGUGAAGCAAUACACACAGACACAUCAGUCUUAUAUCCCUUAAAAGUAUGGAUGCUUCAUCAAAAUCUCCUCGCCCACAGCAGGGAAGUUGAUUCGUCCAAGCAUUUUGCCUUGUUUUUUCUCACCACUCCGAACAGGGUAGCACCUCCUCACCUGCAGAUCUUUGCAAUUUCCUUGACUUACCUCAAACUUUUCUUACACAAUAGAUAGCUUUUAAGGCUAACGUCCAGCUGUCUUUACUUCUAACAGUGCCCGUUUGGUUGUUUAAGCUGCCAAUGGUAGCACUCAGCUACCAUCUGAGGAAGAAAGCAUUUUGUACCAGCUUGGAGUGAAUCAUGAACUUGGAUUCAAGACUAUCUUUUCUAUAGCAAGUGAGAACCACAAAUUCUUCACCCCCCUACAUUCUAGAAUGAUCUUUUUAUAGGUAGAGUGAGUGUGUGUGUGUGUGUGUGUGUGAGUGAGAGAGAGAGAGAGAAAUUAUCUCAAGCUCCAGAGUCCUGAUCCAGGAUACAUCAUUUGAAACCAACUAAUUUAAAAGCAUAAUAUAGCUAAGAUAUCACCCCAUAUUGAAAGAGAGGACAGGAUUUCGUUCAAAUAUUACAUUCUUGAAGGAAGACUUAAUAUUCUGGAAAUAUGCUGAGAAAGUCAUUGAGCAUAAUUCAAUCAUGAAAGGGAUCACUGAAUCAAGAAGGAACUUUCUGAAGAGACAUUUGCUGCCAAAGGCUUCAGAGCAACUCAAGUAAUGCCAGGUCAAUCCUAGUCUCUCAAGUUUGGAAAGGUUUCUACAAGGCCAUCCCAUCAAAUAUCCCAAAUCUAUACAGAAGUUCUUCUUCCUAACAUCUUCACAUAUGAGUCUGCAUCCAGAUUGGAGGCCUUUGUGAUGGGUGAUGAACUACAGGUGGAACCAAGUACAGGUGUGUCCUGGGCAGAGAUGGGCCAGAGGAAGGAACCCAAACAGUGCUGAUUCUACGUGACCCUGAGUCAGGAAGCUGAAGGCUGAGAAAGGAGUUCUCAGGUGAUGCCAAUGCUGCUGGUCUCUAGAACACACUCGGAGAACUGCUGCUCCGGGAGAGUCUUAUGAAUACCAAAAUUUGAAAAUCAGCCGCUGAAGGAAGAAGUGACAGAAAAGGCCUGUCCCCAGAAAACGGUCCUUUUGGGGAGGCUUGAAGCACCCUGUCUGAUCUCUUUCAAACCAGAACCUAGACAGUUGGCAUUGUGGAAGCUGCCUCUGCUUAGGAGGCAGGAACAGAAGCAGGGAGCUCCCCCCAACAAAGGUGGCCGGCUCUUCAGUGCUUGGUGUGGUGCUCGCUUCAGAGACUCCUCCCUCCAACUCAGCAGCCGUAGAUCACCUGCGCUCUGUGCAGCUCCUUGCCACACUUCCCUGAGCUGGUACCAUUAAUCUGGCCCUUGGUAUAUGUGUUUCAGGAGCAACACGAAGUAGCCCAUGUGGCCUCCUUGGUGGAUUGGGAACUUCUUCCUCCCUUCUUGCCUUGUGGAACUCAUAGUCAUUCUUUGGGAACCCAUAAUCAUCAUCACUUCUUCCAUGAAGCCUUCAGAAGCAGAGUUUGUUGAUCCCACCUCUGGAUUCUCAUUCUGGGCCUCAUCCUCUAGACUGCGAGUUCCAGGAGGAUGGAGCUUGUGUGAAAUAUGUCUUUUCAUCUGCAGUGUCUAGGACAGUAUCUGACCUAGAAAAUAUGUUUCUUAAGCCCUCUGUCAGCCCUGAUACGGCACCUUGUAUAUAGGUUAGACUGAACAGUAUUUGGCAGAGAUCCUCAAGGCCUACAAUAAUAACACGGGGAGGAAGCUGGGUAUCUAACAACAAUGUGGUUAGAAGCAACCAGGAGACACAUGUGCCUAACCACUGGGCUACUGUGACCUGGAUGUUUUUGCUGCCAAAGUGUCUAAACGGUUAUGUAUAAAUUGCUGUGUAACAGGCGUUUCAGAAGUGGCUCAUUUUGAGUGGUCUAUACUGUUCUCACUAGCCUUGUCACGGCAAGUCAAAGAGUUUGAAAUUCACUUAGCAGUAAACACCAUCAGCGACAGGUUGAUGUCAGGUAAAGUCAUGAUAUCGGCUCCCAUCUCUUGCCAUCUCCCACUAGAACAGGGUAGAGAGUCACUUUUCUCCUAGAGCCUCCAUGGCCACAGGAUCAGAACAAACAUGCUUUUCCAAGACAUCCGAUCCAAUAGGGAUUUUAGCCCAAUUUCUUUCCUUGGCAUUUGGAAUUCACUGCAUGCAGCAUGGGGGAGUGCUGGAGAGACGGGAGGGUGAAGGUCAUGUUUGCCAAUAGCCAGACCACCUGAGCCUCAUUGAAAUGCCUCAGACCUCAAGCUAUUCAUGCAGGCUGGGGAAGAAUCCAUGUGGGCAAAGAACAUCCUGAUUAAAAAUGCAAACGUUUUCAUGGUGAGACUUUUAUGUGUCAGGACCAUCUGCUGGUGGAAUUAAUAAGCCUUAGGUGCUAAUUUGUUAAAGAAAAAGUAGAUAUCUGGAAGUGAGAACAGAGAACUGAAAACAAUCUUUGAUGGCACAAGUAAAGGUGAAAAACCUAAUUAGAAUAGGACUUGGUGCUAGCCUAAGGACUGUAGCUAUUCCUGCUUCUACAUCCUUCAAAUUGAGUACCAGGGUGCAAAGUUUUUGAAAACCAUUUCUUUCUUUGGAAUUUUGCAUUGUACCAAAAGACAAUUUUGUUUAUUUCCUGUUUUGUAGGUAAUAGAUGUGAAUAUAAGUAUUUCAAAAUGAGAACUAUUAAACAUAAAUGACAGUGAA